UGAGCGCUCAUGGGGUUGGAAGCCAGAUGCUUCACCAUGGCUCCGAGUAACAGAUAUUUGUCACCUGAAACCAUCAGAUAUUUCCGAAGUGAUCACAUGGCUACUGAAAAUAAAUAUUCUGGAAGGAUCCUUCUCAUUGAAUGAUAUGACCAGGACAGACAUUUUAACUCAUCUUAGUCGAAAUAAAUACCUGAGAACAA